AGAGUUUGAUCCUGGCUCAGAACGAACGCUGGCGGCGUGCCUAACACAUGCAAGUCGAGCGAGAAAGCCCGCAAGGGUGAGUAAAGCGGCGCACGGGUGCGUAACACGUGGGUAAUCUGCCCUGAAGUCCGGAAUAACUCGCCGAAAGGCGUGCUAAUGCCGGAUGAGACCACGGGAGCUUCGGCUCCUGCGGGAAAAGGUGGCCUCUGUAUACAAGCUAUCACUUCAGGAUGAGCCCGCGGCCCAUCAGCUCGUUGGCGGGGUAAUGGCCCACCAAGGCUACGACGGGUAGCUGGUCUGAGAGGACGAUCAGCCACACUGGAACUGAGACACGGUCCAGACUCCUACGGGAGGCAGCAGUGGGGAAUCUUGCGCAAUGGGCGAAAGCCUGACGCAGCAACGCCGCGUGUGUGAUGAAGGUCUUCGGAUCGUAAAGCACUGUCGCGAGGGACGAAUAAGGGGCGGGCUAACAUCCCGUUCCGAUGACGGUACCUCGAGAGGAAGCACCGGCUAACUCUGUGCCAGCAGCCGCGGUAAUACAGAGGGUGCAAGCGUUGUUCGGAAUUAUUGGGCGUAAAGCGCGUGUAGGCGGCUUUGUAAGUUGGGUGUGAAAGCCCUCGGCUUAACCGAGGAAGUGCGCCCAAAACUGCAUGGCUUGAGUACCGGAGAGGGUGGCGGAAUUCCCGGUGUAGAGGUGAAAUUCGUAGAUAUCGGGAGGAACACCAGCGGCGAAGGCGGCCACCUGGACGGAUACUGACGCUGAGACGCGAAAGCGUGGGGAGCAAACAGGAUUAGAUACCCUGGUAGUCCACGCCGUAAACGAUGAGCGCUAGGUGUUGUGGGUGUUGACCCCUGCAGUGCCGCAGCUAACGCAUUAAGCGCUCCGCCUGGGAAGUACGGCCGCAAGGCUAAAACUCAAAGGAAUUGAUGG
rnacentral:rRNA from 1 species